rnacentral:misc_RNA from 1 species
UCAUCAGCUACUGACAUUAAGAAUGGCUACAUUUUUAAAUAGCAAUGCAAUGAAGGUGAUUACACAAAUGUGAAGCCUCGUUAUUCAUAUAUUCACAUAAAGCUUUAACCGUUUUACUACACGUAAAGGCUUCAUAAUAUUAUUAAAAUAAAAUCCAUACUGAUACAAAGUUUAUCAGGUCUUAUAGACAGGUACUCUAAAAAGAAACUACGUAGCUAAUUGAUAAGCUCUUUUGAUUUAUUUGGGGGCUUAUUGCGACCAUAACUCUAGAAUGAAGCUCUAGUUUUAUGAGCACAGGAGAAGCCUGUAAUUUACACACGAUAAAGGUGGUGCAGCUUCCUUCUCGAGAGACCAAAAUGCUGCCAUUGUCAUCACUCAUCAUGGCAGCUUCUUCACUAGGCACUCGACAAGGUGCCUCUGUCAACACCUUGUACAGCAAGUCCUCGAAACGUGCUCUGGAUCCAUUUAUAUCACUGUGCCAUCCUCUAUUGUUGCCUUCUCCGAUAUAAUUGUGAUUCCAGAACGAAUGUAAAAUCCUUCCUCUGGCCUAUCUGCUUCUUGCACACCAUCUUUGUUCGUGAUGACCACAUUUUUUCCUAUCUUCGCAUUCUUGUCUAUUAUGCAUUUCUUGAUCUUUGUGUCCCUUCCAACACCAAUAGGGACUUCCCCCUCUGCCAGAAGAGAUGCGAUUUCAGCUUCGGUUUGGUAACAGUCAGCUCCCAACAUCACGGUGUCCUUUAGCUCAACACCAUAAUCUAAACGUGAGCGUUCACCAACCACAGAAUGUUGUAUAGUACAUUCUCGCAAGAAGCAUCCAUGGGAGAUUAUUGCAUCUACAAUCCGGCAUUUAUCAAUUUUGGUUGGUGGUAGGAAUUGAGGAGAUGUGUAGAAGGGUGUCUUUGGGUCAUAAAACUCAAACUUUGGAGACUCUUCAGUGAGAGCCAAGUUUUCUUCAUAGAAUGUCUUUAUUGUUCCUAUAUCUUCCCAGUAGUCUCUAAAAAUAUAUGCUUGGACAUUGUGCUCCAUAACUGCCGCAGGAAUGAUUUCAGAUCCAAAGUCAUUUGAUGUAGGAUAUCUCCACCUUAAAAGCUUCAAAAGAAUCUCAGUCCUAAACACAUAGACUCCCAUUGAUGCAAUAUACGGGGAUUUCAGGGCAUCUUGCAGAGACAAUCCUAGAUGAGUGGUAUCUGCCCGCAUUGAUUUCAGUUCAGCACCACUUGGUUUCUCAGCAAAAUGGACAAUUCGUCCCCUGUUGUCUAUCUUCACCAAACCAUAAUCGGAUGCGCGGCUCUCACUGACUGCAGCACAUGAAAUUGUGAUAUCAGCAUUACUGUCAACAUGAUGCUGCACAAAAUCCAUAUAAUCCAUUCGGUAAAGAUGAUCUCCAGACAAGAUCACUAUAUUCUCAACAUUCCUGUUCUUGGCAUCCUCAAAAACCCAAGUAAAUUGCCUCACAGCAUCUGCUGUUCCUUGGAACCACCGCAUUCCCGCUUCUCCAGGCGUUUGAGUUGCUGCUAGAACCUCCACAAAACCGUCUCCAAAGUUAAUGCCAUUUCCAAAGUAUGUGCGUGCAAUGUGUCGAUUAAGGGAAGCAGAGUUGAAUUGGGUCAGCACAAAUAUCUUGUUUAUGCCACUGUUGAUGGAGUUGCUCAUUGGGAUGUCUAUUAGCUUAUAGCAUCCUCCCACUGGCACAGCUGGUGUUGCUGCCCUUCUGGUAAGAGGAAACAGCGCAGUCCCUGCACCUCCUCCCAAUAUGAUCGAUGCUACGUUUUUUGGAUCCACUUUUCGUCUCUCAAAUCUUGGUGGUUGUAAGGUCACAACCUCCUUGGGAUUAUUUGAUGUUAAAACAGCACAAGCAACACCAGGUUUGACCUUGAUGACGUUCCUCUCAGCUCUUAAGCUUCUUGUCAUCUGAUGGGACCAAAUACUGUUGUUGAGACUCCCUCUGAUCCUUUCACCCCAAAACUCUUUAUCUCCACUCUUGAAAUCACCUUUGCUAGGUUUUGCCACAUGGGCAUUGGCUUUGACGGCCACAGAGCAAGAAUCCAUUCCAAUGCUCUCACAACAACCUCAAAUGAUGAUGAUGGAUCACACCUCAAAAGUGCUUCAGUACCAAAAUAGCAGACACAAACCCCAGUGAAGAAGAGUUUCAAACUUAGUAACCAAAUAUGGUACAGAUCACACGAAGAUCAAUGCAUUAAAUGGAAAUUGAAAAAGAUGAUACAUAUAAAAUGAAUGACAGUUGUACCACAUGCUCUAACUCACUCAAGGAAUAAUGUAUAAGCCAAUCUAAGCAAACCCAGAAGGAGAGUUCAAAUAAAGUUAAAAUCUAUCUAGCACCCAGAUAGGAAAAGUUCUUUAAGAAUCAAGAAUCUAAAAGUACCCAGAAGCUUAAGAACCAAAAUUUUGACUAAAAAUAUAAAAAAGAUCAAAGCAGAA